CCGUUGACAAACGGAGGAAGGUGGGGAGUGACGUCAAUCAUCAUGCCCCUUAUGUUCUGGGCUACACACGUGCUACAAUGGCCGGUACAGACGGACGCAAAGCCGCGAGGCGGAGCAAAUCCGAAAAAGCCGGUCUCAGUUCGGAUUGCAGGCUGCAAUUCGCCUGCAUGAAGUCGGAAUCGCUAGUAAUCGCAGGUCAGCAUACUGCGGUGAAUACGUUCCCGGGCCUU
rnacentral:rRNA from 1 species